GAUGAAGAACGCAGCGAAAUGCGAUAAGUAAUGUGAAUUGCAGAAUUCAGUGAAUCAUCGAAUCUUUGAACGCACAUUGCGCCCGCCAGUAUUCUGGCGGGCAUGCCUGUUCGAGCGUCAUUUCAACCAUCAAGCCCUGUGCUUGUGUUGGGGGCCUGCGGCUGCCGCAGCCCCCUAAAAGCAGUGGCGGGCUCGCUGUCAUUCCGAGCGCAGUAACUUAUCUCGCUUUGGUCGUGGCGGUGGGCACCUGCCGUAAAACACUCUUUUUCACAAGGUUGACCUCGGAUCAGGUAGGAAUACCCGCUGAACUUAAGCAUAUCAUAAGCGGAGGA
rnacentral:misc_RNA from 1 species